GGGUUGUGAGGUUAAGCGACUAAGCGUACACGGUGGAUGCCCUGGCAGUCAGAGGCGAUGAAGGACGUGCUAAUCUGCGAUAAGCGUCGGUAAGGUGAUAUGAACCGUUAUAACCGGCGAUUUCCGAAUGGGGAAACCCAGUGUGAUUCGUCACACUAUCAUUAACUGAAUCCAUAGGUUAAUGAGGCGAACCGGGGGAACUGAAACAUCUAAGUACCCCGAGGAAAAGAAAUCAACCGAGAUUCCCCCAGUAGCGGCGAGCGAACGGGGAGGAGCCCAGAGCCUGAAUCAGUGUGUGUGUUAGUGGAAGCGUCUGGAAAGGCGCGCGAUACAGGGUGACAGCCCCGUACACAAAAAUGCACAUACUGUGAGCUCGAUGAGUAGGGCGGGACACGUGGUAUCCUGUCUGAAUAUGGGGGGACCAUCCUCCAAGGCUAAAUACUCCUGACUGACCGAUAGUGAACCAGUACCGUGAGGGAAAGGCGAAAAGAACCCCGGCGAGGGGAGUGAAAAAGAACCUGAAACCGUGUACGUACAAGCAGUGGGAGCCUCUUUAUGGGGUGACUGCGUACCUUUUGUAUAAUGGGUCAGCGACUUAUAUUCUGUAGCAAGGUUAACCGAAUAGGGGAGCCGAAGGGAAACCGAGUCUUAACUGGGCGUUAAGUUGCAGGGUAUAGACCCGAAACCCGGUGAUCUAGCCAUGGGCAGGUUGAAGGUUGGGUAACACUAACUGGAGGACCGAACCGACUAAUGUUGAAAAAUUAGCGGAUGACUUGUGGCUGGGGGUGAAAGGCCAAUCAAACCGGGAGAUAGCUGGUUCUCCCCGAAAGCUAUUUAGGUAGCGCCUCGUGAAUUCAUCUCCGGGGGUAGAGCACUGUUUCGGCAAGGGGGUCAUCCCGACUUACCAACCCGAUGCAAACUGCGAAUACCGGAGAAUGUUAUCACGGGAGACACACGGCGGGUGCUAACGUCCGUCGUGAAGAGGGAAACAACCCAGACCGCCAGCUAAGGUCCCAAAGUCAUGGUUAAGUGGGAAACGAUGUGGGAAGGCCCAGACAGCCAGGAUGUUGGCUUAGAAGCAGCCAUCAUUUAAAGAAAGCGUAAUAGCUCACUGGUCGAGUCGGCCUGCGCGGAAGAUGUAACGGGGCUAAACCAUGCACCGAAGCUGCGGCAGCGACACUAAGUGUUGUUGGGUAGGGGAGCGUUCUGUAAGCCUGUGAAGGUGUGCUGUGAGGCAUGCUGGAGGUAUCAGAAGUGCGAAUGCUGACAUAAGUAACGAUAAAGCGGGUGAAAAGCCCGCUCGCCGGAAGACCAAGGGUUCCUGUCCAACGUUAAUCGGGGCAGGGUGAGUCGACCCCUAAGGCGAGGCCGAAAGGCGUAGUCGAUGGGAAACAGGUUAAUAUUCCUGUACUUGGUGUUACUGCGAAGGGGGGACGGAGAAGGCUAUGUUGGCCGGGCGACGGUUGUCCCGGUUUAAGCGUGUAGGCUGGUUUUCCAGGCAAAUCCGGAAAAUCAAGGCUGAGGCGUGAUGACGAGGCACUACGGUGCUGAAGCAACAAAUGCCCUGCUUCCAGGAAAAGCCUCUAAGCAUCAGGUAACAACAAAUCGUACCCCAAACCGACACAGGUGGUCAGGUAGAGAAUACCAAGGCGCUUGAGAGAACUCGGGUGAAGGAACUAGGCAAAAUGGUGCCGUAACUUCGGGAGAAGGCACGCUGAUAUGUAGGUGAAGCGACUUGCUCGUGGAGCUGAAAUCAGUCGAAGAUACCAGCUGGCUGCAACUGUUUAUUAAAAACACAGCACUGUGCAAACACGAAAGUGGACGUAUACGGUGUGACGCCUGCCCGGUGCCGGAAGGUUAAUUGAUGGGGUUAGCGGUAACGCGAAGCUCUUGAUCGAAGCCCCGGUAAACGGCGGCCGUAACUAUAACGGUCCUAAGGUAGCGAAAUUCCUUGUCGGGUAAGUUCCGACCUGCACGAAUGGCGUAAUGAUGGCCAGGCUGUCUCCACCCGAGACUCAGUGAAAUUGAACUCGCUGUGAAGAUGCAGUGUACCCGCGGCAAGACGGAAAGACCCCGUGAACCUUUACUAUAGCUUGACACUGAACAUUGAGCCUUGAUGUGUAGGAUAGGUGGGAGGCUUUGAAGUGUGGACGCCAGUCUGCAUGGAGCCG
rnacentral:rRNA from 1 species